CACUGGAGGACCGAACCAGGGCACGUUGAAAAGUGCUUGGAUGACUUGUGGGUAGCGGAGAAAUUCCAAACGAACUUGGAGAUAGCUGGUUCUCUCCGAAAUAGCUUUAGGGCUAGCGUCGACAUUAAGAUUCUUGGAGGUAGAGCACUGUUUGGGUGAGGGGUCCAUCCCGGAUUACCAAUCUCAGAUAAACUCCGAAUGCCAAUGAAUUAUGGUCGGCAGUCAGACUGCGAGUGCUAAGAUCCGUAGUCGAAAGGGAAACAGCCCAGACCACCAGCUAAGGUCCCAAAAUAAUUGUUAAGUGGAAAAGGAUGUGGGGUUGCACAGACAACUAGGAUGUUAGCUUAGAAGCAGCUAUUCAUUCAAAGAGUGCGUAAUAGCUCACUAGUCGAGUGACCCUGCGCCGAAAAUGUACCGGGGCUAAAACAAUUUACCGAAGCUGUGGAUACCUUUAUAGGUAUGGUAGGAGAGCGUUCUAUGUGUGGAGAAGGUGUACCGUGAGGAGCGCUGGAACGCAUAGAAGUGAGAAUGCCGGUAUGAGUAGCGAAAGACAGGUGAGAAUCCUGUCCACCGUAAGACUAAGGUUUCCAGGGGAAGGCUCGUCCGCCCUGGGUUAGUCGGGACCUAAGGAGAGACCGAAAGGUGUAUCCGAUGGACAACAGGUUGAUAUUCCUGUACUAGAGUAUGUAGUGAAGGAGGGACGCAGUAGGCUAACUAAAGCGUGCGACUGGAAGUGCACGUCUAAGCAGUGAGGUGUGAAUUGAGUUAAAUGCUUAAUUCUAUAACAUUGAGCUGUGAUGGGGAGCGAAGUUUAGUAGCGAAGUUAGUGACGUCACACUGCCAAGAAAAGCUUCUAGCGUUAAUCAUACUCUACCCGUACCGCAAACCGACACAGGUAGUCGAGGCGAGUAGCCUCAGGUGAGCGAGAGAACUCUCGUUAAGGAACUCGGCAAAAUGACCCCGUAACUUCGGGAGAAGGGGUGCUGGCUUAAAGUCAGCCGCAGUGAAUAGGCCCAAGCAACUGUUUAUCAAAAACACAGCUCUCUGCUAAAUCGUAAGAUGAUGUAUAGGGGGUGACGCCUGCCCGGUGCUGGAAGGUUAAGAGGAGUGCUUAGCGUAAGCGAAGGUAUGAAUUGAAGCCCCAGUAAACGGCGGCCGUAACUAUAACGGUCCUAAGGUAGCGAAAUUCCUUGUCGGGUAAGUUCCGACCCGCACGAAAGGCGUAAUGAUUUGGGCACUGUCUCAACGAGAGACUCGGUGAAAUUUUAGUACCUGUGAAGAUGCAGGUUACCCGCGACAGGACGGAAAGACCCCAUGGAGCUUUAC
rnacentral:rRNA from 1 species